rnacentral:RNase_MRP_RNA from 2 species
GGAUCAUGAGGCGAUGUGAGUGGGUCUACGCAAUUUGCUAGACUCAGGAAAGUCCCCGGGCCACGACUGCAGAGAUGCAGACUCGGAAACGGGUAACUUCGAGCUGGGACUUGUCUCGUUUCCUUUGAAGCGAGGGGCUGAGACACGUGUGGAGCCUUUGCGAGUCCCGCCGAAGACAUUGGCCAAUGUCACAGUCAUUCACAUGGUCUUUCCUGACUAACAGAACGGGGCUUACGCCCUCGUGAUC